rnacentral:rRNA from 1 species
AAGCGCGCGUAGGUGGUUUGUUAAGUUGGAUGUGAAAGCCCCGGGCUCAACCUGGGAACUGCAUCCAAAACUGGCAAGCUAGAGUAUGGUAGAGGGUGGUGGAAUUUCCUGUGUAGCGGUGAAAUGCGUAGAUAUAGGAAGGAACACCAGUGGCGAAGGCGACCACCUGGACUGAUACUGACACUGAGGUGCGAAAGCGUGGGGAGCAAACAGGAUUAGAUACCCCGGGU